AGUGAACGCUGGCGGUAGGCCUAACACAUGCAAGUCGAACGGCAGCACAGUAAGAGCUUGCUCUUACGGGUGGCGAGUGGCGGACGGGUGAGGAAUACAUCGGAAUCUACUUUUUCGUGGGGGAUAACGUAGGGAAACUUACGCUAAUACCGCAUACGACCUACGGGUGAAAGCAGGGGAUCUUCGGACCUUGCGCGAUUGAAUGAGCCGAUGUCGGAUUAGCUAGUUGGCGGGGUAAAGGCCCACCAAGGCGACGAUCCGUAGCUGGUCUGAGAGGAUGAUCAGCCACACUGGAACUGAGACACGGUCCAGACUCCUACGGGAGGCAGCAGUGAGGAAUAUUGGACAAUGGGCGCAAGCCUGAUCCAGCCAUACCGCGUGGGUGAAGAAGGCCUUCGGGUUGUAAAGCCCUUUUGUUGGGAAAGAAAAGCAGCAGGUUAAUACCCCGCUGUUAUGACGGUACCCAAAGAAUAAGCACCGGCUAACUUCGUG
rnacentral:rRNA from 1 species